UACGUAGGCAGCGAGCGUUGUUCGGAGUUACUGGGCGUAAAGGGUGUGUAGGCGGUCCUCUAAGUUUGGUGUGAAAUCUCCCGCUUAACCGGGAGGGUGCGCCGAAAACUGGAAGGCUAGAGUGCGGGAUGGGAGAGUAGAAUUCCUGGUGUAGCGGUGAAAUGCGUAGAUAUCAGGAGGAACACCUGUGGUGUAGACAGCUUACUGGACCAUCUUCGACGCUGAGACACGAAAGCGUGGGUAGCAAACAGGAUUAGAACUACCGUAGUC
rnacentral:rRNA from 1 species